GUCCACACCGUAAACGAUGAUUACUAGGUGUUGGAGGAUUGACCCCUUCAGUGCCGCAGUUAACACAAUAAGUAAUCCACCUGGGGAGUACGACCGCAAGGUUGAAACUCAAAGGAAUUGACGGGGGCCCGCACAAGCAGUGGAGUAUGUGGUUUAAUUCGACUCAACGCGAAGAACCUUACCAAGUCUUGACAUCCUGCGACGGACAUAGAAAUAUGUCUUUCCUUCGGGACGCAGAGACAGGUGGUGCAUGGUUGUCGU
rnacentral:rRNA from 1 species